CCAGACUCCUACGGGAGGCAGCAGUGGGGAAUAUUGGGCAAUGGAGGGAACUCUUACCCAGCAAUGCCGCGUGAAUGAAGAAGGUCUUCGGAUUGUAAAGUUCUUUAAUUGGGGACGAAAAAAAUGACGGUACCCAAGGAAUAAGCCACGGCUAACUACGUGCCAGCAGCCGCGGUAAUACGUAGGUGGCAAGCGUUGUCCGGAUUUACUGGGUGUAAAGGGCGUGUAGCCGGGCCGGCAAGUCAGAUGUGAAAUCCCAAGGCUCAACCUUGGAACUGCAUUUGAAACUGUUGGUCUUGAGUAUCGGAGAGGCAGGCGGAAUUCCUAGUGUAGCGGUGAAAUGCGUAGAUAUUAGGAGGAACACCAGUGGCGAAGGCGGCCUGCUGGACGACAACUGACGGUGAGGCGCGAAAGCGUGGGGAGCAAACAGGAUUAGAUACCCGAGUACA
rnacentral:rRNA from 1 species